rnacentral:tRNA from 1 species
UGUUCUGUGGUUUAGUUAGUUAAAGCACCGGACUAGCGGUACGGAGUCAUAGGUUCGAAUCCUACCAAAACAA